UCCUGGCUCAGGAUGAACGCUAGCGGCAGGCUAACACAUGCAAGUCGAGGGGCAACGCGAGUAGCAAUACUUGGCGGCGACCGGCGCAAGGGUGCGUAACGCGUGAGCAACAUGCCCGUAUCAGGGGGAUAAUCCAGGGAAACUUGGUCUAAUACCCCAUAGUAAUUUUGUAAGGCAUCUUAUAAGAUUUAAAGCUUUGGUGGAUACGGAUUGGCUCGCGUGACAUUAGCUGGAUGGUAAGGUAACGGCUUACCAUGGCUAUGAUGUCUAGGGGUUCUGAGAGGAAGGUCCCCCACACUGGAACUGAGACACGGUCCAGACUCCUACGGGAGGCAGCAGUGAGGAAUAUUGGACAAUGGAUGGAAAUCUGAUCCAGCCAUGCCGCGUGAAGGAAGAAGGUCCUAUGGAUUGUAAACUUCUUUUGUAUGGGAGCAAUAAGGCCUACGAGUAGGUUGAUGAGAGUACCAUACGAAUAAGCACCGGCUAACUCCGUGCCAGCCGCCGC
rnacentral:rRNA from 1 species